rnacentral:rRNA from 1 species
AGUGAACGCUGGCGGUAGGCCUAACACAUGCAAGUCGAACGGCAGCACAGUAAGAGCUUGCUCCUACGGGUGGCGAGUGGCGGACGGGUGAGGAAUACAUCGGAAUCUACUUUUUCGUGGGGGAUAACGUAGGGAAACUUACGCUAAUACCGCAUACGACCUACGGGUGAAAGCAGUGGAUCUUCGGACCUUGCGCGAUUGAAUGAGCCGAUGUCGGAUUAGCUAGUUGGCGGGGUAAAGGCCCACCAAGGCGACGAUCCGUAGCUGGUCUGAGAGGAUGAUCAGCCACACUGGAACUGAGACACGGUCCAGACUCCUACGGGAGGCAGCAGUGGGGAAUAUUGGACAAUGGGCGCAAGCCUGAUCCAGCCAUACCGCGUGGGUGAAGAAGGCCUUCGGGUUGUAAAGCCCUUUUGUUGGGAAAGAAAAGCAGCAGGUUAAUACCCCGCUGUUCUGACGGUACCCAAAGAAUAAGCACCGGCUAACUUCGUG